GAUGAAGAACGUAGCGAAAUGCGAUAAGUAGUGUGAAUUGCAGAAUUCAGUGAAUCAUCGAAUCUUUGAACGCACAUUGCGCCCUCUGGUAUUCCGGAGGGCAUGCCUGUUCGAGCGUCAUUAAAACUACUCAAGCUAAGGUUUUACCUUCUGCUUGGUCUUGGGUUUGAGGAUUCAAAAUCCUCUCUCCGAAAUCCAGUGGCGAAUUGUUUGAGCUGUAGACGUAGUAAAUCAUUCUACCCGUUGCAAGCGAGAAUAAUAUUCAGCCAUAACCCCCAUACUUUUCUAGUUUGACCUCGAAUCAGGUAGGGAUACCCGCUGAACUUAAGCAUAUCAAUAAGCGGAGGA
rnacentral:misc_RNA from 1 species